rnacentral:tRNA from 1 species
GCGGGAGUGGCGGAAUGGCAGACGCGCUAGCUUCAGGUGCUAGUAUUCGAAAGGGUGUGUGGGUUCAAAUCCCAUCUUCCGCA